rnacentral:rRNA from 1 species
CCCUUAGAUGUUCUGGGCCGCACGCGCGCUACACUGACGAAUGCAACGAGCUUAUAACCUUGGCCGAAAGGUCUGGGUAAUCUCCAAAUUUCGUCGUGAUGGGGAUAGAUUAUUGCAAUUAUUAAUCUUCAACGAGGAAUGCCUAGUAAGCGCAAGUCAUCAGCUUGCGUUGAUUACGUCCCUGCCCUUUGUACACACCGCCCGUCGCUCCUACCGAUUGAAUGGUCCGGUGAAGCGUUCGGACCGUGGCCUUUGGACGGUUCGCCGUCUGUUGGCUGCGGGAAGUUCGUUAAACCUUAUUAUUUAGAGGAAGGAGAANUCGUAACA